rnacentral:rRNA from 1 species
AAGUUUGGUUGCAGUUAAAAGCUCGUAGUUGGAUUUCGGGUGGGUUUCAGCGGUCCGCCUAUGGUGAGUACUGCUGUGGCCUUCCUUACUGUCGGGGACCUGCUUCUGGGCUUCAUUGUCCGGGACAGGGAUUCGGCAUGGUUACUUUGAGUAAAUUAGAGUGUUCAAAGCAGGCUUACGCCGUGAAUACUUUAGCAUGGAAUAACAUGAUAGGACUCUGCCCUAUUCUGUUGGCCUGUAGGAGUGGAGUAAUGAUUAAGAGGAACAGUCGGGGGCAUUCGUAUUUCAUUGUCAGAGGUGAAAUUCUUGGAUUUAUGAAAGACGAACUACUGCGAAAGCAUUUGCCAAGGAUGUUUUCAUUAAUCAAGAACGAAAGUUGGGGGCUCGAAGACGAUUAGAUACCGUCGUAGUCUCAACCAUAAACGAUGCCGACUAGGGAUUGGCGGACGUUUUUGCAUGACUCCGUCAGCACCUUGAGAGAAAUCAAAGUUUUUGGGUUCCGGGAGGUUGGGUUGUCACCCAAA